AACGAACGCUGGCGGCAGGCUUAACACAUGCAAGUCGAACGCCCCGCAAGGGGAGUGGCAGACGGGUGAGUAACGCGUGGGAAUCUACCGUACCCCACGGAAUAACGCAUGGAAACGUGUGCUAAUACCGUAUACGCCCUACGGGGGAAAGAUUUAUCGGGGUAUGAUGAGCCCGCGUUGGAUUAGCUAGUUGGUGGGGUAAAGGCCUACCAAGGCGACGAUCCAUAGCUGGUCUGAGAGGAUGAUCAGCCACAUUGGGACUGAGACACGGCCCAAACUCCUACGGGAGGCAGCAGUGGGGAAUAUUGGACAAUGGGCGCAAGCCUGAUCCAGCCAUGCCGCGUGAGUGAUGAAGGUCUUAGGAUUGUAAAGCUCUUUCACCGGAGAAGAUAAUGACGGUAUCCGGAGAAGAAGCCCCGGCUAACUUCGUGCCAGCCGCCGCCGUAAUAC
rnacentral:rRNA from 1 species